GACCAAACGCGGAAAUCCCCCAUUCCAAAGCAAAACACGCGGGUCUGCUCCCUCCCAAACUGUGCUGCUUCAAUGUGUUAUUUAAAAUAAAAAAACUGUUUUAAAAAAUCAUUUUUAUUUUUGCCCCUUUUUAAAACCCUAAUGCUCUCAAACUCUCCCUAUUUCCCUUUUUCUUUUCAGCCGAAUGGCUCUCAAAUAUCACCACUCUCGUCACACACGCCGCCGUAGACAACCAACAGAGGGUCGAAGAACCCCUCUUGCGAGGCGAAUCGAGAGAAAAAAAAGAAAAACCCUUUACAAUGAAAAAUUUGGAAGCUUUAUAGCCGAAUACAAGUAGUUUUCCUGCUGUUUUCUUGCUUAAAUCGCAAGUCGUGGUGACAUGAACGGACACGGACGUGGGCGAGCAACAAAAGAGUUGAGGGUCGUGCCUGGUGUGCCGACGUGUGUGGUGAAGAGGCGCUGAUGGACGUGGGCACAUGGUGGCUGAAGGGAGGCAGUUUCCCUCUUUGCUGAAAAAUUUGUGGGUCAAGGGUUUUUUUAAAAAUUUGGGCUUUUGUUUUAUUUGGAUUUUUAUGUAAUUGGUUAGUAUUUUGGGUUUAUUAUUUAGUGUAAUUGGACUGGCUAUUAUUUGUAAAUGGACUUAUUUAAUAUUUUGUUUUAUUUUUUGGUUUUUGUAUGUGUAUGGGCCCGGGCUAAAAAUUAGGUCUACAAUAUUAAUAUUGUAUCAUUUCGAUUUUGUACCAAUCAAUACAUGUAGAAGUCUGAAGUUAUAACAAA